rnacentral:rRNA from 1 species
GGUUGCGAUCAUACCAGCACUAAUGCACCGGAUUCCAUCAGAACUCCACAGUUAAGCGUGCUUGGGCGAGAGUAGUACUAGGAUGGGUGACCCCCUGGGAAGUCCUCGUGUUGCAACCC